CCGUGCUAGAUGGGGAGUUAGCGGUGCCCUGUAACUCGCAAUCCGCUUUAGCGAGGUUGAAUUCCUGCCCGAGGUUAUGUCGAUGUGGGGCUGGUCUUUACGAACAGUGUUGACGGAUGGGUCCUCCGCAAUGGACGCUUGUGAACGGGUCAGGUCCGGAAGGAAGCAGCCAUAAGCAAGUUAGUUCAUGUGCCGGAGGGGUGCCUGUCCCGAGCUGGGAGUAAAGUUGCCGCCCGGAUCGCAUGUAUCGAAGGCAGGUGCACGG
rnacentral:SRP_RNA from 1 species